rnacentral:rRNA from 1 species
UACGUAGGGUGCAAGCGUUAAUCGGAAUUACUGGGCGUAAAGCGUGCGCAGGCGGUUAUGUAAGACAGAUGUGAAAUGCCCGGGCUUAACCUGGGAACUGCAUUUGUGACUGCAUGGCUAGAGUGUGUCAGAGGGGGGUAGAAUUCCACGUGUAGCAGUGAAAUGCGUAGAUAUCUGGAGGAACACCGGUGGCGAAGGCGGCAUCCUGGACCAACACUGACACUGAGGAGCGAAAGCCAGGGGAGCAAACAGG